rnacentral:misc_RNA from 1 species
GAUGAAGAACGUAGUGAAAUGCGAUAAGUAAUGUGAAUUGCAGAAUUCAGUGAAUCAUCGAAUCUUUGAACGCACAUUGCGCCCGCCAGUAUUCUGGCGGGCAUGCCUGUCUGAGCGUCAUUUCAACCCUCAAGCCCCCGGGCUUGGUGUUGGGGAUCGGCGAGCCUCCGCGCCCGCCGUCCCCUAAAUCUAGUGGCGGUCUCGCUGUAGCUUCCUCUGCGUAGUAGCACACCUCGCACUGGGAAACAGCGCGGCCACGCCGUUAAACCCCCAACUUCUGAACGUUUGACCUCGGAUCAGGUAGGAAUACCCGCUGAACUUAAGCAUAUCAAUAAGCGGAGGA